GGAAGUUUGUUGCUGUUGAUGUGGCUGUGAUUGCUGUGAAAAUGGUGUUGAAAAUAGUGUCGAUCCAAAACCAGUGCCAAAUGAUGAAGUUGACGGCGUGCCGAAUGCUGGGGUUGAUGAAGGUGUGCCGAAUGCUGGGGUCGACGAAGGUGUGCCGAAUGAUGGAGUGCCGAAGGCGGAGGAGGGCUGAGCUCCGAACAUUGUUGCAGUGGUGGAGAUGGUGAGAAAGGACAAACCCUAGGUUGGCUUAGGAAGUAACUAUGAAUUUCAACGCAUUUGCCGCCAUUUUCUUUUGGAA
rnacentral:lncRNA from 1 species